CAAGUUUCUCUCAGACUCACUCACCUGUGUGUGAGCAGUUUAGAUCCCAAAGCCCAGAGCACUUGGCUUUGUGGGCAAGGAGUCCCGCAGGACAACAGAUGGCUCAUUCUACUUGUUACUGCCAUGGGACCUCAGCUCCCCUCUCCCCCUGCUCCAGAACAAGUACCAGGCUCCCACAGCAGCCCUCUGGACUACAGGAAGAAGGGGAGAAGUCAGUGCUCAAAAUAAAAUAAGGCCUCAAGGAUUUUGGCCGUACCUCAGUGUUGUCCUGUUCUGACGUCUCAUGGUCAUGGUCCAAGCUUUCCUUGCUCUGCUUCCCUGAAGAUUUGCACUUCCCCUUCUUGCACUUCCCCCUGCAGGGCUUCUUUUCCCCUCUGCAGAGCGCCUGGAGCCGAAUGAGGAAUUUGGCUUUCCAGGCCUCAAAGUCAGCCUCAAUGCUGCCGUGCU